AGCGGCGGACGGGUGAGUAACGCGUGGGUAACCUGCCUCAUACAGGGGGAUAACAGUUGGAAACGGCUGCUAAUACCGCAUAAGCGCACAGUACCGCAUGGUACGUGUGAAAAACUCCGGUGGUAUGAGAUGGACCCGCGUCUGAUUAGGUAGUUGGUGGGGUAACGGCCUACCAAGCCGACGAUCAGUAGCUGACCUGAGAGGGUGACCGGCCACAUUGGGACUGAGACACGGCCCAA
rnacentral:rRNA from 1 species